rnacentral:lncRNA from 1 species
CGAUGUUUAGAUAUUUAUUUGGAAAACUUGUAGGUAAAUAUUGCGCCUGAUGACCCGUGUGAGACAACCCCACUGCUAGAAACCAGGACCAAAGCCAAGCUUUUAAAAGAGGACACCCUGGAGUUUACUGGUUACAAGAGACGAACCAAAGAGGAGUUACAGAAGCUCAUGUAUAGGUCUGAGAUGGAUGAGUGGAUGGUGGAGGCUGAGGAGGAGGAGAGACGAAAGGCGGAGGAAUUUCAACAGUCUGUGUUGACGAACCGAGUAGAGGAGAGGGAGCAGAGGAUUCAACUUGACGAUUCCGACAAUGAAUCAGAUCUGACCCUCACCCGACCAAUUAUACAUUAAAGGAUUGUUUACGAAAUUGUUUGUGACUUAAAAUUUUUAUUUCUAUCUGUUUUCCCUCAUGUUAAUCCAGAUUCAUCGACAUGAAAAGCAGAAUUUGAAGUAGGGUUUCCAUGCGCAUUACUGUUUUAUUCAAAUUCUGGAAAGUUUGAUCAAAUUUUGUUAAAAAUUGCCUUAAUCAAUAUUACCAAAUAUAUUUUAAAGUUAAUUAUCAAAAAACUAGCCUUUGAGAAAAUGCACAGCUACAGAGUAGGUUUUGCGCAAUAACGCAUUGGAAAUCCUAGUUUGAAGCAUGUAAUAAGUUCCUUUCUAGAUUUAUCAAAUAGUGAAAACCUUUUUUGAAAAGUAUAUAGAAAAUAGAUGGUGUUAAUUUAAUUAGA